CAGAUUGGACCCUGGACCGUGUGAGGAGCUGGAGAGAGGAGGAGAAGAGCAGGAGGAACAGAAGUGAAGACUGCAGGAAGAAGAUCAACCACUGGAUCAGGUUGAGCAGAGCCGCAUCCAGCUUGGAUCCAAUGCCCCCAGGACCUGACAGCCUGAGAAGUCCCUGCUCAGCUUUCCUGAAGCCCCCCUCAGAGACUGGAGUCACCACAGGAGGUGGUCAGAUAGAUGUGAGACACAGGAAGAUCCCAAUGGGCUCAAGCUGUCUUCAUUUCUAAAUUAAAGGCUUUUCCCUUAAAACCAGAUGACAACAGCCACAUUAGGGGGGCCUCAUUGCUGCCUACAACUAGCUGAAGGGAGGCUGUAGCCAGCCUAAUAAUUGAUCCCAGGCAGCAGACUCAGCUGGGGAGCUCAGUGCAACGGGACCUGCACCUGGAGAGUUCCUGUAGAGGAUUCCUCCUUCACUGAGGCAUCUCCCAGGAGCUUCGCCAUGAGGUGAUCCCAGAAGCAGCACUUGGAAACACAGGACACAUCCCAUGCACAUCAGCUUGGAGGAUGAGUUAGGUCCCCAGCAUCUGGGCCAGCAGCGGUGUGGGCAGCAGGAGCAGGGACAAGACUGCCAUGUGCUUAGCACUGGCUGAGUACAGGACCUGCCUGGCAAACACUCAAGAGUCCUCCCAUUCCCAGUGGGAGACUGAUCUGAGGAGGCAGAUCAUGGGCACCACACGCUGGGAGAAGCUGCUGGAGGCAAACGUCGGCAGUGUUCUACUCUGAGUGAAUCACUUCAAGACAUUAAAGAGAGUCCAGGCUGGGGAUUACCUUUGGCUUCUGGUGCUUAUCUACGAUGAAAUAAAGGCCAAUUUGACAAUGAAA